UUCUGACCGUAAACGAUGCCAACUAGCGAUCCGCCGAUGGAACACUUGCCAUGAUGGGGAGCUUCCCGGAAACGAAAGUCUUCCGGUUCCGGGGGAAGUAUGGUUGCAAAGCUGAAACUUAAAGGAAUUGACGGAAGGGCACCACCAGGAGUGGAGCCUGCGGCUUAAUUUGACUCAACACGGGGAAACUCACCCGGCCCGGACACCGUGAGGAUUGACAGAUUGAUAGCUUUUUCAUGAUUCGGUGGAUGGUGGUGCAUGGCCGUUCUUAGUUCGUGGAGCGAUUUGUCUGGUUUAUUCCGAUAACGAGCGAGACUCUGGCCUACUAACUAGUCUGGGCAUUGUCACUGUGCCUAGCACUUCUUAGAGGGAUUUUCGGUGUUCAGCCGCACGAAAUUGAGCAAUAACAGGUCUGUGAUGCCCUUAGAUGUCCGGGGCUGCACGCGCGCUACACUGGCAAAAUCAACGUGCCUGUCCUUUGCCGAAAGGCAUUGGUAAACCCGUGAAAAUUUGCCGUGAUUGGGAUCGGAAAUUGCAAUUAUUUUCCGUGAACGAGGAAUUCCAAGUAAGUGCGAGUCAUCAACUC
rnacentral:rRNA from 1 species